CUCGGCAACGGAUAUCUCGGCUCUCGCAUCGAUGAAGAACGUAGCGAAAUGUGAUACUUGGUGUGAAUUGCAGAACCCCGUGAACCAUCGAGUCUUUGAACGCAAGUUGCGCCCGAAGCCAUUAGGCUGAGGGCACGUCUGCCUGGGCGUCACGC
rnacentral:rRNA from 1 species